rnacentral:rRNA from 1 species
UAAAGUUCUUUUGUCUGGGAGCAAAGGACGUAUGUUAAUAGCGUAUGUAUCUGAGAGUACCAGAAGAAUAAGCACCGGCUAACUACGUGC